AGCGAACGCUGGCGGCAGGCCUAACACAUGCAAGUCGAACGAACUCUUCGGAGUUAGUGGCGGAGGGGGGAGUAAGACGUGGGAACGUGCCUGUAGGUUAGGAAUAACUGAGGGAAACUUGUGCUAAUACCGAAUGAGCCCUUCGGGGGAAAGAGUUAGCGCUGUUAGAUCGGCGCGCGUCUGUUUAGCUAGUUGGUGAGGUACAGGCGGACCAAGGCGUCGAUCAGUAGCUGGUCUGAGAGGAUGAUCAGCCACAAUGGGACUGAGACACGGCCCAAUCUGCUACGUGAGGCAGCAGUGGAGAAUCUUGCGCAAUGAGCCCAAGUCUGACACAGCCGUGCCACGGAAAUGAUGCUUGUCUUAGGAUUGUAUAAUUCUUUCACCGGGAACGUUAAUGACGGUACCGGGAGAAGAAGCCCCGGCUAACUUCGUG
rnacentral:rRNA from 1 species